AUGUGUCAUAGACACAGACAACAGCAUGGUGAUUACCGGAGAGAGGGGGGUGGAGGAGGUAGGAGAGAGUUUAGGAGGAAUAAAUGGUGAUGGAAGGAGACUUGACUUGGGGUGGUGAACACAUAAUACAGUAUACAGAUG